GACGAACGCUGGCGGCGUGCUUAACACAUGCAAGUCGUACGGUAAGGCCCUUUCGGGGGUACACGAGUGGCGCACGGGUGAGUAACACGUGAGUAACCUGCCCACAACUUUGGGAUAACGCUAGGAAACUGGUGCUAAUACUGGAUAUGUGCCCCUGCUGCAUGGUGGGGGUUGGAAAGCUCCGGCGGUUGUGGAUGGACUCGCGGCCUAUCAGCUUGUUGGUGGGGUAGUGGCCUACCAAGGCGGCGACGGGUAGCCGGCCUGAGAGGGUGACCGGCCACAUUGGGACUGAGAUACGGCCCAGACUCCUACGGGAGGCAGCGGUGGGGAAUAUUGCACAAUGGGCGCAAGCCUGAUGCAGCAACGCCGCGUGCGGGAUGACGGCCUUCGGGUUGUAAACCGCUUUCAGCAGGGACGAAGCUUUUUGUGACGGUACCUGCAGAAGAAGCACCGGCUAACUACGUG
rnacentral:rRNA from 1 species